rnacentral:rRNA from 2 species
AAUCCGGUUGAUCCUGCCGGACCUGACUGCUAUCGGAUUGAUACUAAGCCAUGCGAGUCAUUGUAGUAAUACAAGGCAGACGGCUCAGUAACGCGUAGUCAACCUACCCUAUGGACGGGAAUAACCUCGGGAAACUGAGAAUAAUGCCCGAUAGAACAUUAUGCCUGGAAUGGUUUAUGUUCCAAAUGAUUUAUCGCCGUAGGAUGGGACUGCGGCCUAUCAGUUUGUUGGUGAGGUAAUGGCCCACCAAGACUAUUACAGGUACGGGCUCUGAGAGGAGUGGCCCGGAGAUGGGUACUGAGACACGGACCCAGGCCCUAUGGGGCGCAGCAGGCGAGAAAACUUUGCAAUGUGCGAAAGCACGACAAGGUUAAUCCGAGUGGUUUCUGCUAAAGGAACCUUUUGUCGGUCCUAGAAACACCGAUGAAUAAGGGGUGGGCAAGUUCUGGUGUCAGCCGCCGCGGUAAAACCAGCACCUCAAGUGGUCAGGAUGGUUAUUGGGCCUAAAGCAUCCGUAGCCGGCUCUGUAAGUUUUCGGUUAAAUCUGUACGCUCAACGUACAGGCUGCCGGGAAUACUGCAGAGCUAGGGAGUGGGAGAGGUAGACGGUACUCGGUAGGAAGGGGUAAAAUCCUUUGAUCUAUUGAUGACCACCUGUGGCGAAGGCGGUCUACCAGAACACGUCCGACGGUGAGGGAUGAAAGCUGGGGGAGCAAACCGGAUUAGAUACCCGGGUAGUCCCAGCUGUAAACUAUGCAAACUCAGUGAUGCAUUGGCUUGUGGCCAAUGCAGUGUUGCAGGGAAGCCGUUAAGUUUGCCGCCUGGGAAGUACGUACGCAAGUAUGAAACUUAAAGGAAUUGGCGGGGGAGCACCACAAGGGGUGAAGCCUGCGGUUCAAUUGGAGUCAACGCCAGAAAUCUUACCCGGAGAGACAGCAGAAUGAAGGUCAAGUUGAAGACUUUACCAGACAAGCUGAGAGGUGGUGCAUGGCCGUCGCCAGCUCGUGCCGUGAGAUGUCCUGUUAAGUCAGGUAACGAGCGAGAUCCCUGCCUCUAGUUGCCACCAUUACUCUCAGGAGUAGUGGGGCGAAUUAGCGGGACCGCCGCAGUUAAUG